rnacentral:rRNA from 1 species
GACGAACGCUGGCGGCGUGCUUAACACAUGCAAGUCGAACGGAAAGGCCCUGCUUUUGUGGGGUGCUCGAGUGGCGAACGGGUGAGUAACACGUGAGUAACCUGCCCUUGACCUUGGGAUAACUUCAGGAAACUGGGGCUAAUCUCGGAUAGGAGCUCCCGCUGCAUGGUGGGGGUUGGAAAGUUUCGGCGGUUGGGGAUGGACGCGCGGCUUACCAGCUUGUUGGUGGGGUAGUGGCUUACCCAGGCUUGGACGGGUAGCCGGCCUGAGAGGGGGGCCGGCCACAUUAGGACUGAGAGACGGCCCAGACUCGUACGGGAGGCAACGGUGGGGAAUAUUACACAGUGGGCGGGAGCCUGAUGCGGCAACGCCGCGGGCGGGAAGACGGCCUGCGGGUUGCGAACCGCAGUCGCCUGAGACGAAGCGUGAGUGACGGUAAUGGGUGAAGAAGCACCGGCUAACUACGUG